CAAAAACAUGUCCUUUUGAAUGUAUAUAAAAGGUCUGACCUGCCCAGUGAUUUAUUUAACGGCCGCGGUAUAUNGACCGUGCAAAGGUAGCAUAAUCAUUAGUCUUUUAAAAGAGGGCUGGAAUGAAAGGUUUGACGAAGUAUUAGCUGUCUCAUUUUAUUUGGGUUUAGAAUGUCUCAUUUUAUUUGGGUUUAGAAUUUAACUUUUUAGUCAAAAGGCUUAAAUUUAAUUGGAAGACGAGAAGACCCUAUAGAGCUUUAUAUUAAUUGUUUUUAUUUCAAGUAUAUAAUUUUUAAUUAAAAACUUUUAUUAUUUUGUUGGGGUGACAAGAAAAAGAAUUAACUUUUUUAAUUAUUUAACAUUAAUAUAUGAUUAUUUGAUCCAUUAUUAUUGAUUAUUAGAUUAAGUUACCUUAGGGAUAACAGCGUAAUCCUCCCCCAGAGUUCAUAUUUACGGGUAGGGCUUGCGACCUCGAUGUUGGAUUAAGAUAAUAGUUAGGUGUAGCAGCUUAAUUUAUAGGUCUGUUCGACCUUUAAAUUCUUACAUGAUCUGAG
rnacentral:rRNA from 1 species